AACGAACGCUGGCGGCAGGCCUAACACAUGCAAGUCGAGCGGACAUCUUCGGAUGUUAGCGGCGGACGGGUGAGUAACGCGUGGGAACGUGCCCUUUGCUUCGGAAUAGCCUCGGGAAACUGGGAGUAAUACCGGAUGUACCCUUUGGGGGAAAGAUUUAUCGGCAAAGGAUCGGUCCGCGUUGGAUUAGGUAGUUGGUGGGGUAAUGGCCUACCAAGCCGACGAUCCAUAGCUGGUUUGAGAGGAUGAUCAGCCACACUGGGACUGAGACACGGCCCAGACUCCUACGGGAGGCAGCAGUGGGGAAUCUUAGACAAUGGGGGAAACCCUGAUCUAGCCAUGCCGCGUGAGCGAUGAAGGCCUUAGGGUUGUAAAGCUCUUUCACCGGGGAAGAUAAUGACGGUACCCGGAGAAGAAGCCCCGGCUAACUCCGUG
rnacentral:rRNA from 1 species